rnacentral:lncRNA from 1 species
GGCAAAGGAAGUGGCCAGACAAGGUUAGAAAUAAUUGAUGGAUAUUUGGUUUUAAAUAAUAAUUCCUUAGAUUCGUCUUAUUUCAGAUCUCCAAACAAAGUCAAUAUGGAGAAUCCAACCGAUGACAAAUUGGGAAAUGACGAGUGGACUGAACUAGCACUUUCACCUCGUCGCAGUGCGAAUGCCAAAACACCUAGUAAAUCCAAGAGGGGAGGACCUGAAAGGUCUCCUCUGCUAUCACGAGAAUGGAAGGGACAGGAAAGCGAACGACUAUUGAUCGAUUAUCGUGACGAACAGGGAGCGAUGGGGGAGAGCGAUGACGACGUAUGGGAUCCCGGCUGGGAUGAUCUCGAACAGGAAACACCCACCAAAGGCUAUCGGCGCAUCAAUACAAAGCGUAAUUAACAUUUCUCCCUUUAUCGCUAAUCUCCCCAUUAUCCCCUUCUGCCUUUUUCCUCUAGCUGUAACUUAUUGUGAAGCUGGACUUCGCCCAAAUGGAAAGAUGAAUAAUUAUUGAUAACCAGUCGAACACGUGAUAUCCUAAAAGGAAGAUAUCUAUAAAAAAGAAUUAUAUAUAUAUAAAUCGUGGUAUGUAUAUAUAUAUAGCACGAUUUAAAUAGCUACAUAUAGUGAAACAGCAGCUGGUUUGCAUUUAAAAUAUAAAGGGGAAAUAGUAAUGAGUUUAAAACAUAUCUAAUUAAAACUGUUUUGCGUUUUAAAAUUCUAAAAAUGCUCAUUCAGUCUACAGUCGAAAGAAAAUUAAAAUUGAGUUUUCGGUCACAUGACGCACUUAAGAUUUAGUGGUUAAGAUUCAAUUUUAGUUGAAAGCUGAGUAAAUGGGAUUUCAUCAACAGUUUUCUCAUUUUAUUUAUUUCUAUCAGACCUUCAUUACUGGAUUAAAUAUUCAGUUUGUUUUAUCUGGCAAAGGUCCUUAGCUUUGUUCUCCAUAUAAAAUAUUCACUUUACACAUUUUUAUAUGGUCGAAUUUUAUGAUUAUUCUACUCAUAUGCGC